rnacentral:rRNA from 1 species
UACAGAGGUCUCAAGCGUUGUUCGGAUUCAUUGGGCGUAAAGGGUGCGUAGGUGGCGCUGUAAGUCGGGUGUGAAAUUUCGGAGCUUAACUCCGAAACUGCAUUCGAUACUGCGGUGCUUGAGGACUGGAGAGGAGACUGGAAUUCAUGGUGUAGCAGUGAAAUGCGUAGAGAUCAUGAGGAAGACCAGUGGCGAAGGCGGGUCUCUGGACAGUUCCUGACACUGAGGCACGAAGGCCAGGGGAGCAAACCGG